rnacentral:lncRNA from 1 species
UUCUUACAGAAUACUGUCUCUCUUAAAUAUCUCUCCACUCACCACAAUGUUCUGACACGUGUUACCCUAUCAGCCCUCGUAUUUUACACACAUAUACCCUUACUAAAAAGAUAAAAAACAAUGAUAACUAGGGACAUGACAAUGCCUCUCUCUCAAACAAUCCUUGUCCUCAAGGAUUGAAGUUAGGAAAAUGAGUGCGAAUCUGAGUCCAGUCUACCCACGUAGCAUCCUCAGGAAGUGAAUUGGACCUUUGAAUCAAAACCUGUGAGACAUCCAUGUUGUUUCUGGGAAUCAAUCUUCUAUCC